GACGAACGCUGGCGGCGUGCUUAACACAUGCAAGUCGAACGAAGUGGCGAACGGGUGAGUAAUACGUGGGUAACCUGCCCUCCUUUUUGGGAUAAUCCUUGGAAACGGGGUCUAAUACCGAAUAAAGGGGGAUGGGCUCGCGGGCUAUCAGCUUGUUGGUGGGGUGAUGGCCUACCAAGGUGGUGACGGGUAGCCGGCCUGAGAGGGGGAUCGGCGACAUUGGGGGUGAGAUACGGCCCAGACGACUACGGGAGGCAGCAGUGGGGGAUAUUGCAAGAUGGGGGAAAGCCUGAUGCAGCGCGGCCGAGAGGGGGAUGAAGGCUUGCGGGUUGUAGACCUCUUUCGUUAUCGAACGGGUCGGUGGAGAAGAAGCGCCGGAUAACUACGUGCCAGCCGCCGGGGUAAUAC
rnacentral:rRNA from 1 species